ACCCGUUGAUCCUGCGGGAGGUUGCUGCUAUUGGGGUUCGACUAAGCCAUGCAAGUCAAAGCGUCUUCGGAUGCUUGGCAGACUGCUCAGUAACACGUUGAUAAUCUGUCUUCAGGUUAGGGAUAAUCUUGGGAAACUGAGGAUAAUACCUAAUAGGAGAAUUGUUCUGGAAAUGAUUUUUCUUUGAAAGAUUUAUCGCCUGAAGGUGAGUCAGCGGCGGAUUAGAUUGUUGGCGGGGUAACGGCCCACCAUGUCAAAGAUCCGUACGGGCCUUGAGAGAGGUAGCCCGGAGAGGGACACUUAGAUACUGGUCCCAGCCCUACGGGGUGCAGCAGGCGCGAAACCUUUACAAUGCACGCAAGUGUGAUAAGGGAACCCCAAGUGCUCAUGCCUUGCAUGGGCUUUUGCCAUGGGUAGAAACCUUGGCGAAUAAGUGGUGGGUAAGACUGGUGCCAGCAGCCGCGGUAACACCAGCGCCACAAGUAGGAACCAUUUUUAUUUGGUCUAAAGCGUCCGUAGCUGGUUUAGUAAAUUUCUUGUGAAAUCAUUAGACUUAAUCUAAUGGUGUGCAGGAAACACUGCUAGACUUGGAACCGGGAGGAGUCAGAGGUAUUUUUGGGGGAGCGGUAAAAUGCUAUAAUCCCAAGAGGACCACCUGUGGCGAAGGCGUCUGACUAGAACGGAUUCGACAGUGAGGGACGAAAGCUAGGGGAGCGAUCCGGAUUAGAUACCCGAGUAGUCCUAGCUGUAAACUCUGCGAGCCAGACGUUGCGCAUACCACGUGUAUGUGCAGUGUCGAAACGAAGGUGUUAAGCUCGCCACCUGGGAAGUAUGGUCGCAAGACUGAAACUUAAAGGAAUUGGCGGGGGAGCACUACAAGGGGUGCGGCGUGCGGUUUAAUCUAACUCAACGCAGAAAAUCUCACCAGGAGCGAUGGUAGGAUGAAGGUCUGGCUAAAGGCCAUACCUGACGGACCAAGAGGUAGUGCAUGGCCGUCGUCAGCUCGUGCUGCGAAGUGUCCGGUUAAGUCCGGUAACGAGCGAGACCUGUACCUAUAAUUUUUAACAGCUAAGCUUGCUUAGGUCUGAACACAUUAUGGGAACUGCUCUGGAAACAGAGAGGAAGGUGCAGGCUACGGUAGGUCUGUAUGCUCCGAAUCCCCUGGGCUACACGCGCGCAACAAUUGUACGGACAAAGGGAUACAACUCCGAAAGGAGAAGUUAAUCCUCUAAACCGUAUCCUAGUCUAGAUUGAGGAUUGUAACUCAUCCUCAUGACAAUGGAAUCCCUAGUAAUCGGAUGUCAACAUCGUCCGGUGAAUACGUCCCUGCUCCUUGCACACACCGCCCGUCAAACCACUCGAGCAGGGUUUAGGUGAGCUUUAUCUUUAUUGGGUAAUGCGAAUCUAAACUCAGUGAGAUGGGUUAAGUCGUCACAAGGUA
rnacentral:rRNA from 1 species